rnacentral:rRNA from 1 species
CGCGGCCUAUCAGCUUGUUGGUGGGGUAAUGGCCUACCAAGGCGACGACGGGUAGCCGGCCUGAGAGGGUGACCGGCCACACUGGGACUGAGACACGGCCCAGACUCCUACGGGAGGCAGCAGUGGGGAAUAUUGCACAAUGGGCGCAAGCCUGAUGCAGCGACGCCGCGUGAGGGAUGACGGCCUUCGGGUUGUAAACCUCUUUCAGUAGGGAAGAAGCCGUGAGGUGACGGUACCUGCAGAAGAAGCGCCGGCUAACUACGUGCCAGCAGCCGCGGUAAUACGUAGGGCGCAAGCGUUAUCCGGAAUUAUUGGGCGUAAAGAGCUCGUAGGCGGUUUGUCGCGUCUGCUGCGAAAGACCGGGGCUCAACUCCGGUUCUGCAGUGGGUACGGGCAGACUAGAGUGCAGUAGGGGAGACUGGAAUUCCUGGUGUAGCGGUGAAAUGCGCAGAUAUCAGGAGGAACACCGAUGGCGAAGGCAGGUCUCUGGGCUGUAACUGACGCUGAGGAGCGAAAGCAUGGGGAGCGAACAGGAUUAGAUACCCUGGUAGUCCAUGCCGUAAACGUUGGGCACUAGGUGUGGGGGACAUUCCACGUUUUCCGCGCCGUAGCUAACGCAUUAAGUGCCCCGCCUGGGGAGUACGG